rnacentral:rRNA from 1 species
UGAAUACGAGACGCUAAGGCGUCGAAGUAGUGUAUGUCAUACUUCCAAGAAAAGCUUGCACUGUCAUAAGUAAAAAAUGCCUGUACCAUAACCGACACAGGUGGGUAGGUAGAGUAUACUAAGGGGCGCGAGAUAACUCUCUCUAAGGAACUCGGCAAAAUAACUCCGUAACUUCGGGAGAAGGAGUACCUUAUUCUAUAAGGUUGCAAUAACAAGAUCCAAGCAACUGUUUAUCAAAAACACAGGUCUCCGCUAAGUCGUAAGACGAUGUAUGGGGGCUGACGCCUGCCCAGUGCCAGAAGGUUAAAGAAGUCGGUUAGCAUUAGCGAAGCUGGUAACUGAAGCCCUGGUGAACGGCGGCCGUAACAAUAACGGUCCUAAGGUAGCGAAAUUCCUUGUCGGGUAAGUUCCGACCCGCACGAAAGGCGUAAUGAUUUGGAUACUGUCUCGGAGAGGGGCUCGGUGAAAUAGACUUGUCUGUGAAGAUGCGGACUACCUGCACCAGGACAGAAAGACCCUAUGAAGCUUUACUGUAACUUGAAAUUGAAAUUGGACUUUAUUCGCGCAGUAUAGGUGGGAGGUGUUGAUUAUAAUCUUGCGGGAUUAUUGGAGCCAUCAGUGAGAUACCACUCUUGUAAUGUUAGAUUUCUAACUUUGAAUCAUUAUCUGGUCAAAGGACAGUUUCAGGCGGGCAGUUUGACUGGGGCGGUCGCCUCCCAAACGGUAACGGAGGCGUACAAAGGUUUCCUCUGAACGGGUAGAAAUCGUAUCUAGAGUGUAAAGGCAUAAGGAAGCUUGACUGUGAGACCUACAAGUCGAACAGGGACGAAAGUCGGUCUUAGUGAUCUGACGGUACUGAGUGGAAAGGCCGUCACUCAACGGAUAAAAGUUACUCUAAGGAUAACAGGCUGAUCUCCCCCAAGAGUUCACAUCGACGGGGAGGUUUGGCACCUCGAUGUCGGCUCAUCGCAUCCUGGGGCGGUAGUACGUCCCAAGGGUUGGGCUGUUCGCCCAUGAAAGCGGUACGCGAGCUGGGUUCAGAACGUCGUGAGACAGUUCGGUCCAUAUCCGGUGUAGGCGUUAGAAUAUUAAGAGGAGCCUUCUUUAGUACGAGAGGACCGAGAAGGACAUACCUCUGGUGUACCAGUUAUCGUGCCAACGGUAAACGCUGGGUAGCUAUGUAUGGAGUGGAUAACCGCUGAAAGCAUCUAAGUGGGAAGCCCACCUCAAGAUAAGUAUUCAC